rnacentral:lncRNA from 1 species
UCAACAACAUCGUCAAGCAAUCAAGCCACUCUCUCAUCAUGAUCCAUCUAUCUUCGUGUAGAGCUCACCUCAGGUCAAACCAUCUCAGACACUACCAGGUCAGAUCAAGGAAAUGAUGGAAAGAAUAGGCAAUGGUACUAUAAUAUACGAAGGCGAAUAAGAAUGGUAAAGGUCAUAUAACGGUACCAAGAGGUGGUGUCAUGUCAAGCUCAAAAUGGGUAGGUCAUCAAGUCCAUAGAGUCAGGGUAUGGAUAUGGAUAUGGAUAUGAUACUGCUCUGAACGGAAGGUGAAAUGGGUCACAGUCUCGAACUCCCUAAGUCG